rnacentral:rRNA from 1 species
UAGCCGUAAACGAUACUCGCUAGGUGUCGGCCACGGUGCGACCGUUGUCGGUGCCGUAGGGAAGCCGUGAAGCGGGCCACCUGGGAAGUACGGCCGCAAGGCUGAAACUUAAAGGAAUUGGCGGGGGAGCGCAACAACGGGUGGAGCUUGCGGUUUAAUUGGAUUCAACGCCGGAAAUCUUACCGGGACCGACAGCAACAUGAAGGCCAAGCUGAAGACUUUGCCGGAUUAGCUGAGAGGAGGUGCAUGGCGU